CGGCGUCCACAGAUGCACAGGGAACAGCCUGUGGUUCUUGCGGUCUGCACUAGGGUGCGAGAGUAAAGACCCCCAUGCUUCUGCCUGUCUUCGUGGCGGCCCCGAUUGACCUGGGGACUACGUCG
rnacentral:snoRNA from 1 species